AUAAUAAUACAUAAGUAGUAACCGGGACCAACGGCUUAACGUGCCUUCCGAAGCACGGAUCUUUUUACUUUUUGGACAAUCAGGUGAUCAGCCUGUAAUGU